CCAGAAGUUCAUGAAAAAACAAUCAAGGAAACAGAUGUAAUGAGUAGAGAUACUAUAGCAUGUCCAGUCUUAUAAGAAACCAGAAUCUUGAUUCCAAUAGGACAUGAGAGCACAAGUCUGGGGGGGUAUCAAAUAAGUAACCAGAGUUAACAUUUAUAUGAAAAAAGCAUGUAAUUAUGCACUUACUAUGUGUAAAGCACUAUUCUAAUGCUGGGGAUAUAAAUGGAAAAGUUAGCUAUUCCCUACUCCUAAGGAACUCAUAUUCUAUUGGAAGAUAUGGAUGGUUUCAUCUGAAAGUCAAAAGGAAAAGUCUCAGGGUCCUUACAAUGCCAAGUCAAAAUAAAAGAGCUCUUGAUGAAAAAAGUGGAGAAGGAGGAGGAAAAAGAGAAAGAGGAAGAAUGAAAAAAAAAAGAAGAGAAGAAGAAGAAUAUUGUGAAGAUGAUAUAAAUGGGUGA
rnacentral:lncRNA from 1 species